GAGAAGGCAUGUGCGGACGAUGG
rnacentral:piRNA from 1 species